rnacentral:misc_RNA from 1 species
UCUGAACGACUCAAGCGAGUUUGGUGCGUUGCCCUUGCCUUUAGGCCGCGCUUCAUCCCCACUUCUCCCCCUCCCCGCUCCGCCGUCGUCGCUUCCAUUGCUUGCGGUGUCGUUCUUGUGGCGGUAUUUCGAUUGGGUCCGUGUGCACCCCUCAAAGGGCCACGAAGAGCAAGCGCGUGUACAUGCUCGAGAUUGGAUGAACAGAAAAUGUCUGUGGUGGAAGUUGGUACGUUUAACGUCCGUGCGGGCUACAUCGGCGACGCGACGUGCACCCGGUGUGUGCCGGCACUGCGCGCCGCGGCCGCCCCAGAGGAGGUGGAUCUCAUCUCGCUUCUGUACGCCGCCGGCAAGAGCCUCGAUGCGGUGCCGCUGCCGUCGUCUUCCGACUUUGCGAACGAGGAAGCAGGAGGGCCUGCCGACCCCUUGCUGAGUCAAGGCAGUGGCGCACACUCAAACGCGCUUCUACCGCUGUGGAGUCUACGCCAAGUGGAGAGCUAUCCGAAGGCGCACAUAGACUCACUGCGUCGACUAAAGCGGGACGUGUUGGAGAACGCUGAGCAGGACCCGCUCUGCCUCGUCUUGCCCGAGGUCUGGCACGAGCGGAUAGACGUGUUGGAGGCGCUGUUUCAGCUCAUCCUCGAGGCCCCAGGCCUCACGACGGCUCUCUACUGCAUGCGCCCUAGUGUGGGAUGGACUUUUGCGUCUGGCGCCGCCUCGAGCAUCGUGCUGGAUGUGGGGCACAGCCGCACAACUGUUACUGCUGUCUUGGAUGGCUAUGCACUGCGCCACUCCGUUGACACGAUCCCCGUCGGCGGUGACGCCGUCACGGCCCAAUACAGCGAGCUGCUCAGCAAGCACCGACCCGUCGUCGAGGCGGCCGCGCCAGCGUUGUCACAUAGCACGGUGCGAGAGAUUUACUGGCGUGAUUGGGUGGCCGAUGUAAAGCACUGCUUGGCACGCGUGCUGCCGUAUCAGGGCGACACCGGCGGUGUCGCGUCUGCUGCAGGGAAGGGGUCUGCGUCAACAGCAGUCAAGGAGGCCACCGUGCGCGCUGUAACAGACUUGCAGGCGCCGGAUGGCACACGAGUGCAUCUUGACGAGCGCACAGCUGCUCUCCCGUUCGAGGUGUUCUUCAGCGCAACCGGCGACGAGAAACGGAACGUGGCGACUCUGAUGGCCAUGUGCAAGCGACGGAUGGACCCGGAGUGGCAGCUGCACACAGUGCCGCACUUGCUUGCUGGUGCCGGCAGCCUUGUGCCGGGUUUCCGCGACCGCGUGGUUGGGGAGCUGAAGGCACAGGAUUCCUCCUACUUCCGCUAUGAACGGGAUGGGGUGCUGAACGUGGCGCAGACCGCCGAUGGUGCGUGGGUGGGGGCGUCCAUGGCCGCCUCCAGCUCGUCCUUUGAACCACUCUGGGUGACACGGGGGGAAUGGGCUGAGGAGGGCGCCUCGGUGCUGUACCGCAAGCUCUUCUAGAGCGCGGUUUUCCAUGGAGGCGCACAGCAAAGAGAGAGAAUAAACGAAAGAGCUGCGUGAACUCCUCACGGCGGACUCGUCCCCUCAUCCCCACCUCCUUCUUUCCCUCUCCGCAUCUUUCCGGCUGCUUCCCUGCGAAUGUGUCAGACGGGGUACGAGGCCAAAACGAAUGGCCCCUGUCGCUGUGCUUUCUAGAAGUGCGUGCUUGCCCUGUCGUCAGCAUCUUCUGCCUUUUUGAUUGUGCCGUGAAGAGGACGAAGAUGCCAUGACUGUGUUCCUUGUUGUUAGGUUGAACAACACAGAGUUCACCUUUGCCUGCUCAUGUGGAGUGUGUGCGCACGCCUGUGUCGGCGUAUGCGGCACCUCUACCUUUUUUUUUUUCGUAUCUUAUUCUUCUUAAUCUGUCGUGCUCGGCCGCAUGCUAGUUCUUGACAUCUCGCGGAAGAACGACACUCUGACAAACGCUCGAUAUAUAUAUCUAUGAGUGCUCCGCCGCGCUGCCCAUCCUUCGUUGACGGUGUCUGCUCGUUUACCUGCCGCUGUUUCUCUCUCGAUCGGAGAGUGUGUGCGUAAUGCCGAAUGAGCGGCCAACCGAAACCGGCGCAGUAUGGGCGUCUGAAGCACAGUGCGAGCCCGGCGAGGUCGCAAUGCGCCAAGCGGGCAGAGCGAAGCGGGGUGGUCUCUUUUCCUUCUCCCUCCCUUCCUUCCCACUAGGACUGAGACGUGCAUGCUAGCCGCAUCAGCUGCUGCUCUCCUUCCGUCCCCGGCUGCGUGCGACUUACAGCGUGAUGUGACACCCUAUUCUCCUUCUUAUCGCGGCCUUUCGUGUUUCUCCUUCGAUUCUGCUUUCCGCUGUUCGCCCCUCUCCUCCCCCUUCCCACAACCAAAAACAAAAAUGUUGGGUCUGCCCCGUGCGGUGCGCGGAGGGACACGCGCGCUCCUCCGACAACCUUUGCGCGCAG